CCUACGGGUGGCAGCAGUGAGGAAUCUUGGUCAAUGGACGCAAGUCUGAACCAGCCAUGCCGCGUGCAGGAAGGCGGCUCUAUGAGUUGUAAACUGCUUUUGUACGAGGGUAAACGCAGAUACGCGUAUCUGUAUGAAAGUAUCGUACGAAUAAGGAUCGGCUAACUCCGUGCCAGCAGCCGCGGUAAUAGGGAGGAUUCAAGCGUUAUCCGGAUGUAUUGGGUUUAAGGGGUGCGUAGGCGGUCGGAUAAGUUAGAGGUGAAAGCCCGAGGCUCAACUUCGGAAUGGCAUAUGAUACUGUUAGGCUAGAGAGUAGUUGCGGUAGGCGGAAUGUAUGGUGUAGCGGUGAAAUGCUUAGAGAUCAUACAGAACACCGAUUGCGAAGGCAGCUUACCAAGCUACUUCUGACGUUGAGGCACGAAAGCGUGGGGAGCAAACAGGAUUAGAUACCCCUGUAGUC
rnacentral:rRNA from 1 species